UACGUAGGGUGCAAGCGUUAAUCGGAAUUACUGGGCGUAAAGCGUGCGCAGGCGGUGAUGUAAGACAGGUGUGAAAUCCCCGGGCUUAACCUGGGAACUGCAUUUGUGACUGCAUCGCUGGAGUGCGGCAGAGGGGGAUGGAAUUCCGCGUGUAGCAGUGAAAUGCGUAGAUAUGCGGAGGAACACCCGUGGCGAAGGCGGCCACCUGGGCCGACCCUGACGCUGAGGCGCGAAGGCGUGGGGAGCGAACGGG
rnacentral:rRNA from 1 species